GGAAGUAAAAGUCGUAACAAGGUCUCCGUUGGUGAACCAGCGGAGGGAUCAUUACCGAGUUUACAACUCCCAAACCCAAUGUGAACGUUACCAAACUGUUGCCUCGGCGGGAUCUCUGCCCCGGGUGCGUCGCAGCCCCGGACCAAGGCGCCCGCCGGAGGACCAACCAAAACUCUUAUUGUAUACCCCCUCGCGGGUUUUUUUUAUAAUCUGAGCCUUCUCGGCGCCUCUCGUAGGCGUUUCGAAAAUGAAUCAAAACUUUCAACAACGGAUCUCUUGGUUCUGGCAUCGAUGAAGAACGCAGCGAAAUGUGAUAAGUAAUGUGAAUUGCAGAAUUCAGUGAAUCAUCGAAUCUUUGAACGCACAUUGCGCCCGCCAGUAUUCUGGCGGGCAUGCCUGUCCGAGCGUCAUUUCAACCCUCGAACCCCUCCGGGGGGUCGGCGUUGGGGAUCGGCCCUGCCUUGGCGGUGGCCGUCUCCGAAAUACAGUGGCGGUCUCGCCGCAGCCUCUCCUGCGCAGUAGUUUGCACACUCGCAUCGGGAGCGCGGCGCGUCCACAGCCGUUAAACACCCAACUUCUGAAAUGUUGACCUCGGAUCAGGUAGGAAUACCCGCUGAACUUAAGCAUAUCAAUAAGCGGAGGA
rnacentral:rRNA from 1 species